CGCCGGAGCCGAGAGCCCGCCGCCGCCAUGUCCCACCAGACCAGCAUCCAAGCAAGUGAAGAAGUUAAAGAUAUCUUUGCCAGAGCCAGAAAUGGAAAGUACAGACUCUGAAAAUAUCUAUGGAAAAUGAGCAACUUGUGAUUGGAUUGCGGAGUCAGCCUUCAGGUUCCUGGGAUAAGGAUUAUGAUUCCUUCAUUUCACCUCUGUUGGAAGACAAACAGCCAUGUUAUAUAUUAUUCAGGUUAGAUUCUCAGAAUGCCCAGGGUUAUGAAUGGAUAGUCAUUUUGUGGUCUCCAGAUCAUUCUCAUAUUCGUCAAAAAAUGUAUGCAGCCACAAGAGCAACUCUGAAAAAGGAGUUUGGAGGGGGCCACAAUAAAGAUGAAUUAUUUGGAUCAGUAAAGGAAGAUGUAUCAUUACAUGGAUAUAAAAAAUAUUUGCUGUCACAGUCUUCCCCUGCCCCAUUGACUGCAGCUGAAGAAGAAUUACGACAGAUUAAAAUUAAUGAGGUACAAACUGACGUAAGUGUGGACACUAAGCAUCAGACACUCCAAGGGUAGCAUUUCCUAUUUCUCGAGACGCUUUUCAGGCUUUGGAAAAAUUGAAUAACAGACAGCUCAACUAUGUGCAAUUGGAAAUAGAUAUAAAAAAUGAAGUUAUAAUUUUGGUCAACACAACAAACACAGAACUAAAAGAUUUGCCAAAGAGGAUUCCCAAGGAUUCAGCACGUUACCAUUUUUUUCUGUAUAAACAUUCCCAUGAAGGAGACUAUUUAGACUCCACAUGCAGUUCAGAGAACGGAUGUUGUAUUCUAGCUGCAAGAGCCCUCUUCUAGAAAUCGUAGAAAGGCAACUACAAAUGGAUGUAAUCAGAAAGAUUGCGAUAGACAACGGGGAUGAAUUGACUGCAGACUUCCUUUAUGAAGAAGUGCAUCCCAAGCAACAUGCGCAAAAGCAAAGUUUUGCAAAACCAAAAGGUCCUGCAGGAAAAAGAGGAAUUCAGAGACUAAUUAGGGGUCCAGCUGAAACUGAAGCCACUACUGAUUAAAAUCUAUACAUUAAACAUUGCAAUACUAGUUUUUUUAAAGUUCAGCUUUUAGUACAGGAGAACUGAAAUCAUUCCAUGUUGAUAAAUAGUAGGGAAA